UACGUAGGGUGCAAGCGUUGUCCGGAAUUAUUGGGCGUAAAGAGCUCGUAGGCGGUCUGUCGCGUCGGCUAUGAAAUCCCGGAGCUCAACUCCGGGUCUGCAGUCGAUACGGGCGAACUGGAGUACUGCAGGGGAGACUGGAAUUCCUGGUGUAGCGGUGAAAUGCGCAGAUAUCAGGAGGAACACCGGUGGCGAAGGCGGGUCUCUGGGCAGUAACUGACGCUGAGGAGCGAAAGCGUGGGGAGCGAACAGG
rnacentral:rRNA from 1 species